rnacentral:rRNA from 1 species
UACGUAGGUGGCAAGCGUUGUCCGGAUUUACUGGGCGUAAAGAGCGCGCAGGCGGUCGUUCAAGUCGCGUGUGAAAGCCCCCGGCUCAACUGGGGAGGGUCACGCGAUACUGAUCGACUCGAAGGCAGGAGAGGGAAGUGGAAUUCCCGGUGUAGUGGUGAAAUGCGUAGAUAUCGGGAGGAACACCAGUGGCGAAGGCGGCUUCCUGGUCCAGCACCGACGUUCAGGCACGAAAGCGUGGGGAGCAAACAGG